UAGCUGAACAGAAGAUAAAUCUCGUUAGAAGCAAACGAAGAAAUUCAUCCCCAAAAAACUGAAGAAAUGAUUGAUCUAUGGAGCGGGAGUGGGUCAGCAGCUGCGCAAUAUCUCGAUUGAUUUUUCUGAGGUAAUCUUGACACUUCUCCCACAGUCCUCUGCGCAUGCUUGAUAAUCCAGAGACAAAUAGGAAUGCCAUUAAAGGAUUGUUCAGAAAGAGUGUGAAGAGGCUACCCCGCUGAGACUGAUCCUGUAACGCUUUUGGAUAUGCUGUUGGAGAAAGCAAGCACACCAAUGGUUGUCCAAAUAAGUUUGUGAAAUUCUUAUAGGCCACACUGUUCGAAGAAUCCACAAUGAUAAAAAGUGGCUUUCUUGUGAAAGGGUAGAGAUCCCCAGGAUGAAGACAAUGCAUCUCCUUGUAAGAUUGGUUUCGCUUGUGGAUAGCAUCUCCAUUUAUAACGUCCCGGUUACUAUUUGUCAGAACACCACCAAAAUCGUAUGGGCCUUCACUAUCCGAACGACCUGAUG
rnacentral:lncRNA from 1 species